rnacentral:lncRNA from 10 species
AGUGUCAAUCCACCAUCUUCUGCCAGUGAACUUGUCUUUGGGUUUUUGUUUGGUGUGUGUGUGGGGGGGGAUGUUGUUGUGUGUGUGUGUAUGUGUGUGUGUGCUUUUUUUGGAAGGGGGGAGGGGAAAGACAAAGUGGGGGCCGGAGGUGGGGGGAAGAGUAGGGAGAAUGUGUGUCUGUGAGUGUGUGUUGAGUGUGAGUGUGUCUCUGUGUGUGUAGGGGUCGAGGUGGGGGGGGUCCGUGUUUGCGAUCUGAACCUUUGGUACCUACAAGGAGGGUGUCUCACCGAACGGUAGCUAAAACCUCACCAGAACCGCGCGGAAGUGAGAAGUCGCGGCCAAAGGCGCCCGCAGAAGCCUCCUCUCUGGGCCGGACCCCAGCCCGAGCGGCCGAAAGGAGCCCCCCGCCCGGAUCACAGAAGUUUACAAGGAAAGGGGAAAUGUCUGAAAUGGAGAUUGCACAAUCCUGUCUUGAAGCAGAAGACUCAGCUAGAGCACAUCUGGAAACACCUGGCACUCCUCAAUAGAAUUCAAAUGCUAUUUUAAAAGAUGUAAAAUCUGAGCUGCAACACUGAACAAAAGCUGUACUUGCCAGCCAGCAAAGAUGCUACCACUCUGCACAACAGAUAAAACCCAUACAUAUAGGGAAGUCAAAAGAGUCUUUAAGCUACAGUGUUUGAGAGGCUGUUUGUCUCUGAUGGAAAAUUAAGAAAAUGAGUCCAUUUCUAAGAAGAUGUGGUUCGAACAUACAGAGCUACAUAAUAUGAGUAAAAUAGGACCUAACAGUAGUGUUCUCCAGCAUUGCUCUGCCUUUCCUUUUCUGGAUGUAACAACAUUACUAAGAAAGGAAGAAAAAGCAAAAAUCUGCUCUCGGGGAGAUUCCAGAAUGUUGGAAAGCCCCAAAUGGAAGUCUCUGCUUUGGUUACAGGACAUAAGGUUUAAUAAAUAAAAAGAUGCUCAUCUGGGAUGCUGCACCAAUUAUCAUGUACUAAAUAAGGUUACCUACUUCACUCUCCAGGUAGAAAUGUCUAUCAUAAGCAUGUGCCACAGAAGGUCUCUCAAGUAUCAUUAUUGGCUGUGUUGAAUUUUGUUUUUAGUUCUCUUUUAUAAGGUCUGUAGUCUUACUUUCAGUGAGGAAGUGUUUUCUCAGGUUCUCAAGAAAGUAACAAAAUGCCAGCAUUGUCAAGGUCACCAUUGCCACUGAAUUAUCUUACUGUCUGAUUAUUCCAUCUUCCUCUGCAUCAUAUUAGCCUGAUGACUACAUUCUAAUUAUUUAAAGCGUUAUGUAAAUCAAAGCAGUAAAUGUAAUUUCUAGUCUUACUAGAUAUCAUGUACAUUAGGUCGAAUAACUCUAGAAAUGUCGUCAUAAUCAUGUCAUGCCUAAUGAUGACCUACUCAGCCCCUGCCAACAUCAUUCAAUUACUCAUUUCAGUAUUGAUUUUUCUCAUGCCUCUCUUCGUGGCAUUUAAACAGCCCUCACAUCUCCCCUUUUACUGAGGUGUAAUGUUGUAUAAUGACAGAGAUGCUUUGCUUCCCAGAUUCAUAAUGUUACACUCUGUUUCAAAUCCUUUUGGAGACAAAUUGGGGAAUCAAUAUAUAAAUAAUGACACACUUAUUUUUAAUUAAAAUCACUGCUUUCACAGAAAUGGUAUAUUAAAAUUAUUUUUGCUAAAAAAAUUUUAAAUACCUAUGUACGAUAAAAAGACUGCCAAUCCUUGGGAUCAAGAAUAUAAUUUGCCCCAAAUAACUUUUCUGUAAAAGUAGAAUUCUUAAUGGAAAAUAGAUUAAUACAUAUAAUUUCAAGAUCUAACCUUAAAAAUGGAAAUAAUGUGUCCAUUUUUAAAAAUAAAUCAUAUUUACAUACAC